UUUAUUAAUACGUUAUCCUUGCCAAUUAAACUUCUGUUUUUAUUCCUGAUGUUUACAAUGCUUCUGAUUUAUAACUUGCAAUUCGUCUACAAUCAUUGAAUAUUUGAGGAACGGUAAAUGGAGUUUUUCGAGAAAACAAAGAAUUUGCAUUUGUCUAUUUGUUCACGUGGAAUGCAUACAUCAUCUCGAUUCGUAACAACAAAUCACGCUUGCCGGCAGAGAAAUCUAAAUAAAUACGCGCGAAAUGAAUGACCAUAAAAGAAAAUAUAUCGUAAGAAAAAUAAUUUAAAAACCGCAAAUAAAAAAUACAUUAAUUAAAGGCCAUAAAACUAUCGAAGGAGUACAAAUGAAAUAUGGUACCACUAAUACUAAUAUUUCUGGCGUGCAACGAAGACAGAAGAGACGGUAAUUGGAUGUCGUUUCCGUCAACCUAAAGAACACUAUCCCAGCGGAAGAGGCUGGAAGAAUCCCUAAGGGAAAGCUUCUCUGGUCGCUGCUUAUAGACGGUGAUUUGUUGAUCGAUGUGGUUGGCAGGCGUGGUGCAAUGCGGUUAUCCUGUCUUUUCUCAACCCUCGCUUCCGGCCUUCCUCUUUUCCCUACUGGUCCUUACCUCUAUCAUUCCCCUUCCUAGAAUUAGAUGGAAAAACAACCGGACCAUCCGUAUCAUUAACCGUCACGGCUUUAGCGUAAUUAAACUACUACAGUGAUGUCCAAAGUUCGAUGGUGUUAUGGUCAGGUUUAGCGAUUGAACCUGACCGGGUUGGAACAAAGCAUGGGUAAUUCUACCUGUAUCGAUUGGAAACCUCGUCAAGCGUGAAAUGUAUAAUCUUCGUCGUCGAUAAAGACCUCCUUCGGUUCGAUGGAAAUUCCUGGAUAUCGAUCGUGAUCCAAUAGAUGCUGAUCAACAUAGGAAUUACUGAUGAAUAGUGUUUUUAUCCACGAAUUUUAUUCGAGAGAUAAUUCCAAAAUUAUUGUUUUAACUAUGUAUGGGAAAUCCAAGAAGAAUAAGCCAUAUUUCUUAUUGAAAUAUUUCUUGAUGAAAACGUUUCACGAAUUUGUCUUCAAUUUCGUAGCUUAACUCGUUACUCGAAGGUUCGCCAUUCGUUCACGCUUCUCCUCUUUACCCCUGUUAAUCAAUGAAAGCUUAACUUCUCCCAGGAGUCGGAAGUCGAAUUCGUUCCCUGUCUCGUUUAUUGUACGUAAUGCGUCUUCGCGAGCUAUUGGCUGGAAAAGGAGCGUUGUUAACGUUACUCACUAUUAUUGUUAACCGAAUUCGACGCGGAACGGUACAAACUACGCUAUGUGUAUCCAUCUGGAGAGGAAAGCAUUUCGUUCGAAAGCGUUGUCGCGAUCGAAUUUACCGCGUUUUCUCGUUCCCUGUUGCUUUCACGUGCGAGGAGGCUGUCUCGCCACAAUGAGCACGCGAAUAUAAUAGAUCGACUUCAAGAUGAGACGACGUCAGGAACGAGGCGGAAUCUCGAGCAGUGCGACAGGAAUUUCUAUACAUCCGGUUGGCAGCCGUCUCUCCAGCAGGAUUGUAAUUUCAACAUUCGCUCCCUUAACCUCCUCCUUUAUCCUUCCCUCCAACCAACGAUUCACUUUUCAUUCUUUCCCUAUCUUACUACCCCUUAUUGGGAGGAUUUUAUGCAACGAAAUCAUCUUUGCCCUUUAUUGUUACCCUUAUCGUUACCACCUCGUUCUUCCUCAACGUCUGUCUGUAACGUUAUCAGCAACCAUUUCUACCAUUGUCACGAAACUUUUCCAGAUUUCCACCCUGAGUUUUCACCCUCUCUCUCUCUCUCUCUGGUUAUAAUACACGUAUAUCUUGACGAAAGAUUAACAGUCGUUUCAUUUCUGUUUUUACGAAACUUCCCUUGAAACCAGAUUGUCGCCCUUUCGUCUUUCGAGGGUAUUCGAAACACGCCCUUUGUCAGGGAGAAUUAUGACAGCUUUCAACAUUCGUGCCGGAAUUAAUGCGGAAGUUUCGUACGGUGGAGUAUCGAUACUUGGUCGUAGGAUGUUGGCAAAGUUUCCACGUAAUUCCAGGUAAUGCGAGCUGCAUCUUAUGCUUCGUGGAAUAUUUUAAGCACUUAUAUUGUGCACCUUGUACUCGUGUUGAGAACGUGGAUUACGAUGAUGGCUUGUCUGCUGCAUCAGAAUUUCUGAAUGAAACGCUGCAGGAAGGUGGAGAAUAAUUAAGAAAAGGGUUACUUAGGAAAUAAUUGUUUCGAAUUUAAUUUUUCACUGAUUAGGUUAUUCUAUUCAAGAAAAUUCAGAUACUGGAUCAGAACAUAAACUAUUCAUUAUCCCUCUUAUAUUUGCAUUAUUAUUUAAUUGCCUGAUAAAAAUUGUUGAAUGCAUGUAUUACGGUUUGAAUACGUUCAGCAAGGGUUUAGUAAAAAGGGAACAUCUGAAUAAGCUUUUGGAAAAUGCUUUUUUAUCUUCAAAGCUCUCCAUUGUAUGGAACUAGAAAACAUGAUCCCCAAAGUGGAGAUAAGUGUGCAAGGAGAACUCUGAUGUUGCUCCGGUUAAAUGAGGUCGUACGCCACAAAAAUGGCUUUUUCGAAAUUUUAUGAAAAUUACAGUAAUGUAUCUGAUUCGUUGUGUGCUAUUUACAGAAAAUUAUGUUUGCGUGCAACAUUUAAAUAGAUAUAAUGUUUUUACAGAUGAUUCCAUCAUAAUAUUCUUAAUUUAAAUAUUAAAAAGAUUAAUAAAAUUUAUUUAGCUGUUUCAUGAGUAGCUAAAUCAAAAUUAUUUUUGGUAUUUUUAUAUUUUCUAACUGAUGCGCUUAAUGAGUUCAUUCUUAGUUUUCCCAUGGUAAAAACGUUUCACCCCCAUUACAAUUCGAUUCACCCUAUGAUCUAUGAAACACUCUAUCUCUCCGCAACUUUCUCCAUAGCUUCCGGUAUUUCGAUACGUCGCAAACCUUUCAAUCGUAAACGGUGGAUGGUGAAGCGUAAAACAACGGUGGCGUAUAGUGGACCGGGUCUCAGCUCAUACGUGUUCUGAAUAUUUUACGAGCCCCAUGUUCUCCCACGAAAAUCCGAAUAGAGAGAACAGAAAGAAAUGGUCCCCGGGAAUCAAGGGUAUAGGGUCGUUUCUCGACGAGCCAGGUUGGUGCUUGUUGUUGGAAAAAGCGAGCUACUAUGGAUUUGGGGGAGGGUUGUUCAAAUUGAAAACGAACCGUGGGUCAAUCUCUUUGUCAAUUCGUUCGAACCAUUCGAAGGGUGCGUGUGUAUAAUGGAAUUUGCGAAAGAAAGUUACAGGAAAGUGGUUGUAGCUCGUUCGGACGACGGAUUCAAACUUUUUACCAGGGAUCGUCUUUCGUACUGGAAUAAGUAAUAGGGGGAAAAAAAAAAAAAUGUAACGGACGAUGAUGCGAGGCCGUGAAUAACCGAUGCCCUGAAAGAGCCACGUGUGCCAAAGCACCGUCUUAAAAGACGCGUUUACGAGCCAUAGAGGAUAACCGUUGGAGCGUGCGAGAAUCCGGAUCAAUUGGCCUUCUACGUUGGUCCAUUCAGACGCCUCGAACGACGCCGCGACGCCGUUGCGAAAGAACGGACAAUCACGUGGAAUGAACUGUGAACUCUGAGAACUCCUUUUCUUCAUCUUCGUCACUAUGCGUUGCCUCUCGCGUCAACGCUGCACUUGGAUAUUACUGAUGUCUGAUUUAUCGUUGACCAAUACUACUUGUUCAUAGAAUGCUUGACGUUUAAGCACGAUAAUUGGUAUCAAGUUUAAUCCUAUUGAUGAACUAUUUAUAUAGGCAUUUUCUUCAACUCUUUACCUUUAAAUUGAUGUAUCAUAAGUGAUAUUUUCUGACACUUGUAUGUCAUAAAAUUAUGUCAGACAUCCCCCUGUGGCUGGGGGGUUUAGAAUACAGCCACGGUAUCCCCUGCCUGUCGUAAGAGGCGACUAAAAGGGGUCGCAAGAGAAAGACAGGAAAGAAGAAUAAAAAGUAGGGAAAUAAUGUAAGGAAAGAAAAUGUAACAUUUUAUUUUAUACUCCGUGGUUUUCAAUUUGGUACAGUUUCAAAUAUCUUAUUGAUUGUUUCUUUAUAUUAAUGUCAAUGGAUGAAGAGGUAUAAUCCAGUCGGACAGAUAUCAUGAAUACCAUUUAGGGAAGCUGAUAGGGUACAUAGGAUAAUUUCAAUAUUGGUUAUCAAAUUAACCCAGUAUCAGUCAAUAUCAAUUCGAAUUCGAUAUUGUGUGGAAUAUAAUUCUAACAUAGAAAUAGGAUCAAAUAACGAUUAUAUGGACAACUGAGGAGAUCUAUUUUAUGUUACUAAAUCAAUAAAAAAAUAGAGAUUAGCUCUUUUAACAAUGCAGGAAUGAAUUAAAUUAAAAUAUUAUUUUUUUAAAAAGUAUUUAUUUGUCAUACAAAACUUUAUACAUUUAUUUUCAAAUAAAAUACUUCUAAGUCUCGCAAUCAUUUUCAAUGAUUCUCAAUUAAAUAGCUAAUAAUUAUCUUUUGAUAUUAAUUAUGAUCUCAUUUAUUUCUAAAGAGCUUGUUGAACUCGACCAUUCUGAUUAGUGCAAUAUUUGAAAUUCACUCGCGAUCAAAUAAGUUUGUCAACAACAGUAUUAUACAAAUGAAUUGCAAGCAACGCAAAUGAAGCGUUUGCUUGAAUUUCUAGUUCAAAACUUGCACGGUUUCAUUCAGAACAUGGAAAACAGUCGUGAAAUUCCGGUCACGCUGGGGAAAAUUAAUCGUUCCCUUUAAUGUCCCCAGACGUUAACAUUCGACAAAGGAAAAACAUGGCGUAUCGUUUUCGAAUAACAAUGCAAACAUAUAUCUGAACACACGAGGAAACAGGGCACAUGGUUUCCUGAAAUUGGCGACAUUUAACCUUAGAUCGUGUCGUCUAAACACUUCAAGUACAUAGCUUGACGCAGCGGGGCGAAUCACUUAUGCGCAUGCUUUCAAGGCAGUAUGUUGCAUUUCCCUGGUAGAGAGCGUAAUCCCGGUCGUUCGACUCGCACGAUCGCGCAAUUCGUUCUCAAGGAAUGCGUUGUGCACCCAGUCUGACUGACUGUGUGGGUGUUGGAGCGUUGGGGGUGCAACGUCGUCUUUAUCACCGGCGUAAAUUCGAUGCGCUCACGGCUGAUUUCAAUUCUGCUCCCUCCAAAGAUAUAUGCGUCUCGGUUCAGUGAUGUUCGAUUGGACGAUAGAUUUGACGUGAAUAAUUACGAUGAGGUAUAGGCCUGAAAUUGAAUCCAAGUAUAUUUCAAGAUUUUUGCGCAGCGACCUCUUGUGAAAUUGAAAGGAUAAACCAGGGAUUUAAUGGACUCUCGAUGAAUCGAUGGGAAGAAAAUUUAUGAAAGUUUAUUAAGCCGGAUGAAAUAGUCCGAUUGAUGAAAGGUUGCUAGAAUUAUUGAUGGUAUUGUUGACGGAGUUCCGAUUGGUAUGUUAUCGAUUAUUGCUUUACUAGAUAACCCAUCAAUAAAAUAAAAAGUAAAUACGAUAUAUUAUAUAAAGAAAGAUAAGAAACAAAAUUAAUUAUAAAUCGACUUGACAUACAUCUCCCGUGAAAUCUUCCCCUUCAUUUUAUUUCAAGCAAGUCUCCAAACUAAAUUUAUCAUUUCCCCUUCUACAAAGAGUAAUCCAAAUUCUCGUCGCAAAGUCACGAGCGCUCAGUUUAAAAUCACUGUCAGAUGAAUGAAAAUUGCAAAUUAGCGUGUUAGUGUAACCCUUAGGUAAAUCUCAUGUGCUGUUUCUUCUAUUUCUUUUCGUUCUUAAUACACGAAUAAUUUUUGGAGGCUUGUUUCUACACUUAAUCCGCUUUCCGUUGGCUAGGAUGUCCCUGUUGGGGCUCAUAAUGAGCCAGGUUUCACAACAAGGAAACAGGGUGCAGGUAUGCGAGCAAAGACAUCCAGUGAAUUUCUGCUUGAAACUCGCAAAUUAACUCACAGCAGAAUCAGCCGACGAGCCCGUUCUUUUAUUUGUGACAUACACAAUUUUCCUUCCUUUCAGGAAUCUACCAUCCACCAUGUUUCAACCUCUCUUUUUGCCUGCACGCUUCCUUGCCAACCAACCACCAGCCAUUUCGAACCCCUUGAGAAUCGUGUAACGAGCCAGAGUGUACGGGAACGAGAUAAUAUAAGCCACGCACGAGCACGGUAUAUACACCGACGAAUUCUUGGCUGAAAUUUACAAAGGACCGACGACCGGGAAUUAAUCUCGCACGAACCGGAAACUAGGCAAGGCUCGCUCCUUCGCUUUUUGUCCCCUGAUGUAAUACUUUCCCUCGCCCAACAAUACCAAUCCUCUAAAAGUACUUUGCAGUAAUAUCAUGGAAACUUCAAAAAAUCCUUUAAGGAGAUCUAUGAAUCUUGUUGGAAACUUUUGUAUCUUGUUAAAGAACAAUUUCAAUGCGAUCUCAAAAUAUAAAUCAUAAGUCUGAUUCUACAAAGCAAAAGGAUAACAUUAUUUUACAUCUUUAAGUUCAUUUAACAAUAGUUCGAGUAUUAAUCAAGGAAAUGUUGAUUUAAUUGAUGGAAAAAGGAAGCUUAGAGAAGAGAAAAGGUAAAGGGUAUCUUUAGAAACUUUUCACGAUCGUCGUUCGAGCUUGCAAUAUUCCGUAUUAUGCUGUCACCAUAAGGGAAAAGCUUGAGAAAUUUUUUACUACGUUUACUGGAAAUUUCUUCGUAAUUUUUCUAACGUAAAUUGAAAUCUGUAACUCCUGUUUACUUAUGUUACACCGUGCUGAAGAUUUAAGAAACUUUCUUCAGAAUAAACUCUGCGAAUUGUGCACUGAAGUGUCCUAUAAUGUCAGCUCGUUCGAAAUAUUGAAAUUCCUAUAGACUUUGUAAACGGACGUGUCUCCAACUAAAGAGAAUCUAUUAAGGUGUAUCCCAUGACAAUAUCGUGCACCGUUUUAGUAUUCAUGGCACUUCACGUUCCAUUCAGACUUUCUCAAACAUCAGGAAGUUUGCUUUCCAAAAUCAAGAGUGUCCUCGGUAAGAAGCGCGCUGCAACGAAGAAUCUAGGAAUUUUGUAAAAUGUUUGAAGAGAAGGAUAUUUACGCUUCGACCAGAGACAGAUUCGACUAAACAAGCUGGAACAUCCAUUAAGUUAAAGAAACAGUGAACAGAAUUUUUAAAAAUAUUUAUAAUAAUGUGUUUUUAAUAGAGCAACAACAAGCUUUUCCAGUUUCUAGUAUUCAGUGUCGAUGUAUUAUACUUAAUGUUAGUACCUAAAGCUCAAAAUAGUCCCUAACAAAUAUUAUAACUGACCCAAAAUAAGUAAAUUCAUAACCAAGAUUCUAAAAAUCAAAAUUAGCAGUAAUUUUUUAAUUUUAAGUUACAAACACAGUGUAAUUGCGCCCCACAAGUCAAAAUAAUCGAGCCUGUUCUACCAGUCCCUCUUCUUUUAUAAUUUAGUCAAAACCAGUAUGUACAAGACCGAAAAAUUAUUAAUAUAAUUGUAAGACAAACUUGUAUUCACUUCAUGCAUCUUAAUGUUAGUAAAUAAAUCAUUUUGAAAAA